CAUCUAGAGUGGUUAAUCCUUUUUAACCACGUACAAGUAUUCUGAAACGUUCACCUCUGCAUAAGGUGUGUCAAAUGCAAUUCAGCAAAUAGUCAGCUCGACAUUUUUUACUGUUCCAUCUCUGAGAUUGGGUCUUUUUACUUCAUCUUAAACCAGAUUUCUAUAUUUUUUAUUUCUUUAUUUUUAUGGCUCCUUUUUUUAUUCAACACAAUAAAAACCUAAAUUGUUUGUCAGCUCUUUGAACCUCCCACUAGACUUUUUAGUCUAUCAUACUUGUAUAUUUGUGAAUGCUUGUCUUUGUUCUGAUAUAUUAAGUGUUUUAAUAAUAUUUUCAAAUAUAGUGAAACUACUUGUUGGGUUGCAGAGGAUCUGGCAUCAGUUAUUACCAGGGGAGACCUACCAUACUAAUCAACUUAUAGGUAGAUGGAUCUAAACACAACCCAGGUUCAUAUGAAGCUACAGUACACGCCACGGCUGAGCAAUCGCGCAGUUAUAGACUCUCACAACUAAAUUACUACUGGAUUAGAAUAAGCCCCUUGCUGACCAGUGUCAUAUCUAUAAUUUAGUUUUAAUUAGGGUAGCAAAUGGAACAUGACUUUUUUGUUAUUUCUUUUCA